rnacentral:misc_RNA from 1 species
GUGAAUCAUCAAAUCUUUGAACGCAUAUUGCACUCUCUGGUAUUCCGGAGAGUAUGCCUAUUUGAGGGUCAUUUGAAAUAAUAUAAAUUCCAAGAUUUCUCGGAAUUUAAAAUGGGGUGUCCAUUUUUUGUGGUCGCUUAAAAUACAAGAGAAGCUCAUUUUCUUGGGUUGGGUGAUACUUUCAGUUACCUCGAGACUUAAGCAGGAAUUAUCGGUGGUGUGGGGAAUUUUGC